rnacentral:rRNA from 1 species
GACGCUGGCGGCGUGCCUAACACAUGCAAGUCGAACGGGGUGAAGCCCUUCGGGACUUCACUUAGUGGCGAACGGGUGAGUAACGCGUGAGGAACCUGCCUCAAAGAGGGGGACAACAGUUGGAAACGACUGCUAAUACCGCAUAAGCCCACGGCUCGGCAUCGAGCAGAGGGAAAAGGAGUGAUCCGCUUUGAGAUGGCCUCGCGUCCGAUUAGCUAGUUGGUGAGGUAACGGCCCACCAAGGCGACGAUCGGUAGCCGGACUGAGAGGUUGAACGGCCACAUUGGGACUGAGACACGGCCCAGACUCCUACGGGAGGCAGCAGUGGGGAAUAUUGGGCAAUGGGGGAAACCCUGACCCAGCAACGCCGCGUGAAGGAAGAAGGCCCUCGGGUUGUAAACUUCUUUUACCAGGGACGAAGGACGUGACGGUACCUGGAGAAAAAGCAACGGCUAACUACGUG